rnacentral:rRNA from 1 species
CCCUUAGAUGUUCUGGGCCGCACGCGCGCUACACUGACGCAUUCAACGAGUACUGCACCUGGUCUGAUAGGGCUGGGUAAUCUUUUGAAUGUGCGUCGUGAUUGGGAUAAAUGAUUGUAAUUCUUCAUUUGCAACGAGGAAUGCCUAGUAAACGCAAGUCAUCAGCUUGCAUUGAUUACGUCCCUGCCCUUUGUACACACCGCCCGUCGCUCCUACCGAUUGAAUGGUCCGGUGAAGCGUUCGGACCGCUUCCUUUGGACGGGCAACCGUCUGUUGGUCGUGGGGAGUUCGUUAAACCUUAUCAUUUAGAGGAAGGAGAAGUCGUAACA